AUUCCAGCUCCAAUAGCGUAUAUUUAAGUUGUUGCAGUUAAAAAGCUCGUAGUUGGAUUUUGGGUUAGGGUGUCCGGUCCGCCGUUUCGGUGUGCACUGGGCGCUCUUUCCUUUCUGCCGGGGACCGUUGGGUGUCUUAAUUGCCAUCCCCCGGGAGUCGGCGUUGUUACUUUGAAAAAAUUAGAGUGUUCAAAGCAAGCCAUCGCUCUGAAUACAUUAGCAUGGAAUAACAUGAUAGGACUCCGCUCUUAUUUUGUUGGUUUCCGAGACUGGAGUAAUGAUUAAGAGGGACAGUCGGGGGCAUCCGUAUUUCAUUGUCAGAGGUGAAAUUCUUGGACUUAUGAAAGACGAACUUCUGCGAAAGCAUUUGCCAAGGAUGUUUUCAUUG
rnacentral:rRNA from 1 species